AGAACGAACGCUGGCGGCAUGCCUAACACAUGCAAGUCGAACGAGACCUUCGGGUCUAGUGGCGCACGGGUGCGUAACGCGUGGGAAUCUGCCCUUGGGUCCGGAAUAACUCAGAGAAAUUUGAGCUAAUACCGGAUGAUGACGUAAGUCCAAAGAUUUAUCGCCCAGGGAUGAGCCCGCGUAAGAUUAGGUAGUUGGUGAGGUAAAGGCUCACCAAGCCGACGAUCUUUAGCUGGUCUGAGAGGAUGAUCAGCCACACUGGGACUGAGACACGGCCCAGACUCCUACGGGAGGCAGCAGUGGGGAAUAUUGGACAAUGGGCGAAAGCCUGAUCCAGCAAUGCCGCGUGAGUGAUGAAGGCCUUAGGGUUGUAAAGCUCUUUACCCGGGAUGAUAAUGACAGUACCGGGAGAAUAAGCCCCGGCUAACUCCGCGCCAGCAGCCGC
rnacentral:rRNA from 1 species